GUUCCGUAGGUGAACCUGCGGAAGGAUCAUUAUCGUACAAAAUGUGAGGGGCAUGCGAGGGCUGUCGCUGACCCAAGAGUCGUGCACGCCCGAGUGUGUCCUCUUGCAUAAUAAUCCAUCUCACCCUUUGUGCAUCACCGCGUGGGCACCCUUCGGGAUCAUCUCGGAGGGGGGCUCGCGUUUUCACACAAACCCCCCUUUUAAAAGUGUAGAAUGACCACAUUUAUGCAAUCAAUACAACUUUCAACAACGGAUCUCUUGGCUCUC
rnacentral:misc_RNA from 1 species